AGUGAGGAGCAGAUAGAAGGAUCCCAGGGAGAUGUCCCACAUCGGCUCCAAAAUGUAGGGAGCAAUAAAGAAAAGUAUAUAUGUGCAAGAAUGUGUAAGUGUGUUUGUGUGAGUGUCUGUGAGUGUGUGUCUCUCUGUCAGUGUGUCUGUAUGUGUGUGUGUCUGUUUGUGAGUAUAUGUGUGUCUGUGAAUAUGUGUGUCUGUGAG